ensembl:lncRNA
GCAUGGUCUUCCUGAAGAAGCAACAAUUGAGGGGUGACAUGAAAGGCGUCCCCUCCCUGGGUCUCCAGGUCCACGAGUCCCCAGGAGUGGGUCUCCUUAGCGCCUCCCUUGAAUCAAACCACCACCCUGUUCCCAAAGUCCUGGAAACACCACAAGCCCGUCACGAGGUUCCAGGAGGUGCCUAGCAUCCCCCUGCUCUGAGGCUGACACAGUCGUGUGGGAGGCUCUUGAUGGCUGGCAGGAAGAGAUCAGGCUCAGUACCGUCAAGAGCUUCAGGUCACCCUGCAGAGGCAGCGCCAAGCCCGCCGGGGCCCCGGGGAAGGCUCAGCUGACGGGCCUGGAUCUGACGGAGCCACAGGCCAGGAGGCGGUGUCCAGGCGCUCUGCUGGUGGAGGAUACCU